rnacentral:rRNA from 1 species
AUUGAACGCUGGCGGCAUGCCUUACACAUGCAAGUCGAACGGUAACAGGUUAAGCUGACGAGUGGCGAACGGGUGAGUAAUGUAUCGGAACGUGCCCAGUUGUGGGGGAUAACUGCUCGAAAGAGCAGCUAAUACCGCAUACGACCUGAGGGUGAAAGCGGGGGAUCGUAAGACCUCGCGCAAUUGGAGCGGCCGAUAUCAGAUUAGGUAGUUGGUGGGGUAAAGGCUCACCAAGCCGACGAUCUGUAGCUGGUCUGAGAGGACGACCAGCCACACUGAGACUGAGACACGGCCCAGACUCCUACGGGAGGCAGCAGUGGGGAAUUUUGGACAAUGGGCGCAAGCCUGAUCCAGCCAUGCCGCGUGCGGGAAGAAGGCCUUCGGGUUGUAAACCGCUUUUGUCAGGGAAGAAACGCUCUGGGUUAAUACCCUGGGGUAAUGACGGUACCUGAAGAAUAAGCACCGGCUAACUACGUGCCAGCAGCCGCCGUAAAAC